ACCGUCCCACGUUCGGAUUGCAGGCUGCAACCCGCCUGCAUGAAGUUGGAAUCGCUAGUAAUCGCGGAUCAGCAUGCCGCGGUGAAUACGUUCCCGGGCCUUGUACACACCGCCCGUCACACCAUGAGAGUCGGGAACACCCGAAGUCCGUAGCCUGACCGCAAGGGGGGCGCGGCCGAAGGUGGGUUCGAUAAUUGGGGUGAAGUCGUAACAAGGUAUC
rnacentral:rRNA from 1 species